rnacentral:lncRNA from 10 species
UGAUUAUUAAGUUUCCAAGCUAGAUUACAGAAGUCUUUUUAGCCCAUAUCAUAAAUAAAAUAGUUCUGAAUUUUUCGUAUGGAAAAAUAUACUCUGAGUUCCAAGCAAACAACUUAAGAAAAUUUUUAGAACUAACACAUUCCUAUAUUGGGAAGAGCUCAAAAGUCUGUUCUUCCUCCCCAUCCACUGUUGUUUAAUUAAUCUCUUAAUAUCAUAAAGUCCCUCAUGUGCCAAGUGUAGACAGUCAUUUUUGAAUCAGGGCUCACUUUGUUAGCUUUUUUGUCAAUUAAACCUCUUUUCUAUAUAAAUUACCGAGUCUCAAGUAUGUCUUCAUAGCAGUGUGAAAACAGACUAAUACAGGAAUUUGGUACCAGGAGUGGGGCAUUGCUAUAAAGAUACUUGAAAGUGUGGAAGCACCUUUGGAACUGGGUAACGGGUAGAGGUUGGAAGAGUUUGGAGGGCUCAGAAGAAGACAGGAAGAUGAAGGAAAGUUUGGAGCUUCCUGGAGACUUGUUGAAUGGUUUUAACCAAAAUGCUGACAGUGAUGUGGACGAUUAAGUCCACACUGAGGUGGUCUCAGAAGGAGAUGAGGAACUUAUUGGGAACUGGAGUUGCCAAUAGAUCAGCAGUUAACCAGAAGCUUGAGUUGAGUAUGGACCUGACAUAUGGAUAGACAUAUUGACAUCUUAUGCUAGUGUUCUGGCCCUCCCUGCCCCGACAGUGAUAGAAGCAUCCAUCAACGCCCAUCCUGACAUCAGCAUAAAGCACAGGUUGGAGAGAUUGUAGAUAAAGGCAGAGAGGCUAUUAUAAUGCUUCUCACCUCCAGUUCCCCAGAUGGAAGACAAGGAGGCCCUGGAACAAAGGAAUGGCAUUUGGGACAAAGUGAUGUUGGCAAGUAAGAAAUGCAGCAGUGGUCCAACCCACAGGAGAUGCCAGACAAUUGCUCAUGGCUUCACAUGUCUCCCUUUCAGAAACAAAGCCACGUAAGACUCCAAAACCCCGCCUUCCCUUGGGCUCCACACAAUCAGCAUACAUCUUUCCUUAUCUGUUUUGUGCUCUGAAAAUCGUGUCUACCUCCAAAUGAUACAUCUUUAAAGUGAGUCACCCCUCCUCACAAUCUACUCCAAAAUUUCCAACAAGUUUUCUUCUUUUCAUUCUUCCUCCCACCAGCCUAUCCUAUUCCCUUCUCUCCCCCCACAAAAUCUAGCUCUUCUUUAAAUACAUUUAAACAUUUUCGCUAGGACAUUUCAUCUAUACAGGAUAUGCUAUAUUCUAACUAUUUCUUAGUAAACAUUGAAGGGAGUUUCUUCCUUUAUUCAAGUAUGGAACCCUGCUCAAUAUCCUUUUGGUCUUCAUAUGCCUUCUUUCAAGGCCUUUGUGAAAUUUUUUUCCAUGCCUGAAAGCCGGUGGGGUUUUACACAGGGACUGCGAUGGCUAAAUCCAAGGCAGAGUGGGAUCUUUAUCUAUUAACCAUUUGAUAACUCAAGUUUAUCCCUUGAUGAAUGAAUAAGUUAUCAUUUGCCUUUGGGUCCCAUUCUUGAGUGGUCAUGGAGAGUUCUGUAGCUCACCCUCUUUAUACUCAUAAUUUGCACAAAUUUCACCUAAGAGUAUUUACUUAACCACUUUAAUUCAAUUUGUCUCUACCUAAGACAUUUAAUUCAACAAAUAUUUUUUAAGCUUCUCUAUAAAAGGGACUCUGGCAACUUUCAGACCCGCACUGUAGCACCAGCUCUCUGCUGGCCCACCCCUUGCAGACUUUGGGCUUGCCUGCCUUCAAAAUCAUGUGAGUCAAUUCCUUAAAAUAAAUAUAUUUUUAUUUAUUUAUAUAUAUGUUUGCACACACACGCGAAUCUUAUUUUUUCUGUUUCUCUGGAGAAUUCUGACUAAUGCACCCCCAUUCACCAUCCAGGCUUUUGAGGAGAAAGAUACCAAUCUUAGCAGCAGAGGACACUCUGGAUAGAGCUAGGAGUUUGUUGCAGAGUCUGACAAAAGUUCCCUCUGCAGAAGGGAUGGAAGGAUAGCCUUGGGGGUUGAUUUAGGACUGGGUGUAUGACAUGGGGGAAAAGAAAUCCCUGGGGGAGCUAAAUGAGGGGAGGUGGACCCCUUAUGAUAGUUUAUCAGAGCAAUCUAAGAAAUCAUGUAGGCCUCUAAGAAAGCAUCAAGAAUCAAUGCAAUUUGAUUAAUUGACUUAAAAUAUGUUGAACUUUUCAGCCUCCAUUGUGUAUUUUUGGUGCAAUACUCUGUGCAACUAUUUCAUCCAAGACCAGAAGGGGCUGGAAGAUUGCCUGCUUCACAUUAAAACCCUCCUUAUUGUAUUGGUGCUGACACGACACAAGGAUAUGCAGUCUUUAUCCAGUCCUUAUUGCUCACAGAAAGAUACCAGUCCUUACUGCUCACAGAAAGUAGUGAAGCCUCCCUUCACUCACAGAGCCCACACAGGUAUGCCCUGGUUUAUGUAAUGAAUGGGCUGCUACAAAUAGGUGUGAUGCAUGCCUUUGUGAAUCACUUUAUAUUUUGAAGACACAUUAGAGGAGCUGGCUAUUUCAAAGAAAUUUCACAAGUGCCUCAUUUCUUAAUGUCACAAGCAUUUCUGAUUUAUAAUCAUAACCCCUUUCUAAUGUAUUAGCUUAUGAAGUUCCAUUUUUUGCCUAAGAGGUUUAAUCAAAGCAAGAUAAAACUAUGCUUAAUAAUAUUCAGUUACCUGAAAGAGCUAUUGCAGAAAUGCCUAAUAUAUUACCAGAAAGUAGCUUAAUGUCUCAAAUAAAUGUCAAGUUGUCCAAAUCAAACUGAUAGGCAGCUUAAUGAGGGAUAAAUGUCAUAAUUAUCCAUAUUUCUCCACAUUUUUUUUAGAAAAAAACAUUCACACAAUGAAGGGAAUCAGAAUCUGUUUUUAUAUCCCUAGAGUUAUAAACAUUUGUAUCAAAAUAUUUACAAUUAUAGUA